UACAGAGGGUGCAAGCGUUAAUCGGAUUUACUGGGCGUAAAGCGUGCGCAGGCGGUUAUGCAAGACAGAUGUGAAAUCCCCGGGCUCAACCUGGGAACUGCAUUUGUGACUGCAUAGCUAGAGUGCGGCAGAGGGAGAUGGAAUUCCGCGUGUAGCAGUGAAAUGCGUAGAGAUGUGGAGGAACACCGAUGGCGAAGGCAGCCCCCUGGGUCGAUACUGACGCUCAUGCACGAAAGCGUGGGGAGCAAACAGG
rnacentral:rRNA from 1 species